UGCAAGUCGAGCGGUAAGGCCUUUCGGGGUACACGAGCGGCGAACGGGUGAGUAACACGUGGGUGAUCUGCCCUGCACUUCGGGAUAAGCCUGGGAAACUGGGUCUAAUACCGGAUAUGACCUCCUAUCGCAUGACGUGUGGUGGAAAGAUUUAUCGGUGCAGGAUGGGCCCGCGGCCUAUCAGCUUGUUGGUGGGGUAAUGGCCUACCAAGGCGACGACGGGUAGCCGACCUGAGAGGGUGACCGGCCACACUGGGACUGAGACACGGCCCAGACUCCUACGGGAGGCAGCAGUGGGGAAUAUUGCACAAUGGGCGAAAGCCUGAUGCAGCGACGCCGCGUGAGGGAUGACGGCCUUCGGGUUGUAAACCUCUUUCAGCAGGGACGAAGCGCAAGUGACGGUACCUGCAGAAGAAGCACCGGCUAACUACGUGCCAGCAGCCGCGGUAAUACGUAGGGUGCAAGCGUUGUCCGGAAUUACUGGGCGUAAAGAGUUCGUAGGCGGUUUGUCGCGUCGUUUGUGAAAACCAGCAGCUCAACUGCUGGCUUGCAGGCGAUACGGGCAGACUUGAGUACUGCAGGGGAGACUGGAAUUCCUGGUGUAGCGGUGAAAUGCGCAGAUAUCAGGAGGAACACCGGUGGCGAAGGCGGGUCUCUGGGCAGUAACUGACGCUGAGGAACGAAAGCGUGGGUAGCGAACAGGAUUAGAUACCCUGGUAGUCCACGCCGUAAACGGUGGGCGCUAGGUGUGGGUUCCUUCCACGGAAUCCGUGCCGUAGCUAACGCAUUAA
rnacentral:rRNA from 1 species